rnacentral:rRNA from 1 species
UACGUAGGGACCAAGCGUUGUUCGGAUUUACUGGGCGUAAAGGGCGCGUAGGCGGCGUGGUAAGUCACUUGUGAAAUCUCUGAGCUUAACUCAGAACGGCCAAGUGAUACUGCUGUGCUAGAGUGCAGAAGGGGCAAUCGGAAUUCUUGGUGUAGCGGUGAAAUGCGUAGAGAUGCGGAGGAACACCGAUGGCGAAGGCAGCCCCCUGGGCUGACACUGACGCUCAGGCACGAAAGCGUGGGGAGCAAACAGG